UGGGGAAUUUUGGACAAUGGGCGAAAGCCUGAUCCAGCAAUGCCGCGUGUGUGAAGAAGGCCUUCGGGUUGUAAAGCACUUUUGUCCGGAAAGAAAUCCUUGGCUCUAAUACAGUCGGGGGAUGACGGUACCGGAAGAAUAAGCACCGGCUAACUACGUGCCAGCAGCCGCGGUAAUACGUAGGGUGCAAGCGUUAAUCGGAAUUACUGGGCGUAAAGCGUGCGCAGGCGGUUUGCUAAGACCGAUGUGAAAUCCCCGGGCUCAACCUGGGAACUGCAUUGGUGACUGGCAGGCUAGAGUAUGGCAGAGGGGGGUAGAAUUCCACGUGUAGCAGUGAAAUGCGUAGAGAUGUGGAGGAAUACCGAUGGCGAAGGCAGCCCCCUGGGCCAAUACUGACGCUCAUGCACGAAAGCGUGGGGAGCAAACAGGAUUAGAUACCCUGGUAGUCCACGCCCUAAACGAUGUCAACUAGUUGUUGGGGAUUCAUUCCUUAGUAACGUAGCUAACGCGUGAAGUUGACCGCCUGGGGAGUACGGUCGCAAGAUUAAAACUCAAAGGAAUUGAC
rnacentral:rRNA from 1 species